rnacentral:rRNA from 1 species
AGGGCAACGGUAGGUCAGCAUGCCCCGAAUUAUCUGGGCUACACGCGGGCUACAAUGGGUGGGACAAUGGGUAUCGACACCGAAAGGUGAAGGCAAUCUCCUAAACCCAUCCGUAGUUCGGAUUGUGGGCUGCAACUCGCCCACAUGAAGCUGGAAUCUGUAGUAAUCGUGUCUCAAAAUGGCACGGUGAAUAUGUCCCUGCUCCUU